rnacentral:rRNA from 1 species
AUUGAACGCUGGCGGCAGGCCUAACACAUGCAAGUCGAACGGUAACAGGAAGCAGCUUGCUGCUUUGCUGACGAGUGGCGGACGGGUGAGUAAUGUCUGGGAAACUGCCUGAUGGAGGGGGAUAACUACUGGAAACGGUAGCUAAUACCGCAUAACGUCGCAAGACCAAAGGGGGGGACCUUCGGGCCUCUUGCCAUCGGAUGUGCCCAGAUGGGAUUAGCUAGUAGGUAGGUAACGGCUCACCUAGGCGACGAUCCCUAGCUGGUCUGAGAGGAUGACCAGCCACACUGGAACUGAGACACGGUCCAGACUCCUACGGGAGGCAGCAGUGGGGAAUAUUGCACAAUGGGCGCAAGCCUGAUGCAGCCAUGCCGCGUGUAUGAAGAAGGCCUUCGGGUUGUAAAGUACUUUCAGCGGGGAGGAAGGGAGUAAAGUUAAUACCUUUGCUCAUUGACGUUACCCGCAGAAGAAGCACCGGCUAACUCCGUG